GACGAACGCUGGCGGCGUGCUUAACACAUGCAAGUCGAACGAAGUGGCGAACGGGUGAGUAACGCGUCAUCAACCUGCCCUUCAGAGGGGGACAACAGUUGGAAACGACUGCUAAUACCGCCUACUGAAGGAGGGGAUUGCGUCUGAUUAGCUCGUUGGAGGGGUAACGGCCCCCCAAGGCGGUGUUCAGUAGCCGGCAGAGGAGUAGGAAGGGCAACAUGGGGACGGGGACACGGCCCAAACUCUAACGGGAGGAAGCGGGAGGAAUUCUUCGGCAAGGGACAAAGGUCUGACCGGGCAACGCCGCGUGAGUGAAGAGGGUUUUCGGAUCGUAAAACUCGGUUGUUAGAGAAGCGGUAGCGAACCAGAAAGCCACGGCUAACUACGUGCCAGCAGCCGCGGUAAUAC
rnacentral:rRNA from 1 species